AUGUUACUCCCUCCGUCCCAAGAUUCUUGUCUUAGAUUUGUCUAAAUACGGAUGUAUCAAGUCACAUUUUAGUAUUAGAUACAUCUGUAUCUAGACAAAUCUAAGACAAGAAUCUUGGGACGGAGGGAGUACAAU
rnacentral:pre_miRNA from 1 species